UCUAGGCCGGGCUCCCUCUUAUGGGGAGGGCUAUGACAGAGAAUCCCCUUCAGAAACUGCUCCAGCUUGCAGCUAGUUUGGGGUUUUCCAGACCCUCCCCCCUCCGCUGGUGGGUGGGAACAGUCUUCUCAUUUCCAGCCUCAGCUGAGCCCUGGACCUAGGAUUCCAGAUUAAAAUGUCUCAGUAGCUCCUGGAAAUACAAGGCCUGGUACAUCAGCUGGGGAUCGCCUGACAAUGCCAGCAGGAGGACUACCCUGUGGACUCUCAAGCCCCUAAAAGCAAGACUGGGAGCGUCGUGAAUCGUGUGGGGAACUCCAUUUAAGGUGGUGUAGCUCGAUGACCUCACGGAGGCAACGGAUCAAAUAUAUCUGAACAGUGUGGAACAGACCUUUCUGCGGGGAAGACCGGGAGCGCGUCGUGAUCAAUGCGCACCUAGCAAUCGAGGCUGCCGGAAGCCAGAGCGUGGCCGGUGUUUUCUUUCUGACUCGCCGGACCGUGGCUGUGGCGAUACACGGACGUUCAGGGUGUGACCCCCCAAGUCAUUUGGCAGUGAGCGGUCCUGCUUGGGAGUCACAACAGCAAGGCAUUGUGAGGCACCCCACGCUGCAGGGGAGGUUGUGUAUUUGUGGUGAUUGUACAAGUUAUAAAGCUCUUCAUGUCACUAAAAUCCAGCUCAUCAGUUGGUUACCAUUCUUCCACUCAUUACUCCUGGGGGAAUUGGGCACCCCUGUGUGUGUGCAGAAUUUAUGUCCCUCGCAAAUUUCUUUGCUUCCCCAAAGAAAAAUGACUUUUUGAUAAGGAAGCUGCAAGAGCAAUCGUGCAGCCUUCCCAGCAGUACGUUUUGGUGUCCAGGGCAGCUGGCAGAGAGGUAAAUCGUUGUGGGGCAGGACUGGGGAAGACCUGGCUAGUAGCUCCUACCAUUUGCUGGGCUCAGCUGCUAGUCACAUCUGGGUUGGGGAGGAUGGGCCUUUCUCUUCCCCUGCACAGCAUCCCUGGUCAUGUCAGACCCACCCCCAGAUUUCUCCCCCAGCUGUAGGAAGUGCCACAUGCACAUCCCACCACCCCCGCAAUUCCUGCACCCAUCGCUCUUCAGCUGCAGGGGGAGAGAUCGCUGUAGAGGGAGCCGCUCCCCCUGUGUCCAACCCCAGGCCCACUCAUACCCAGACCCUCUUGCCGAGCCUCACCCCCUGCACUUAGAACUCCCUGAUGAGCCCCAUUUACCCAGCAUCUGGACCCCUCCACUGAUUUCUCCCCACACUCAGACCCCCUUCUGAGCUCUAUCCCCCCCACACCCAGACCCCCACCACAAUCACCUGGACACACCGCCCCCCCCCAGUCUCCCAUUACUGUUGCACCCAGAACCCUCCAACAAGCCCCUGUGCAUCCAGGUAUCCCCCCCUCCCCACAGCUGGAUCCCCCACUGAGCUGCCUGCAUCCAGUUUGCCCCACCCAGAACCCUCUCAGCCCACACCUGGAUCCCCCCACACUAAGUCCCUCUAGACUUGGACCCUGCCUUGCUGAGCCUGCCUGCCCACAGCUGAUGCACCUGGCAAGGAGGGGUAGGGCUCUGGGCCAUUUCUGGGCCAGGCUCUGUCCUUGUACUGUGUCAGGGUUGGGUGCAGCCUCACUGCUGAGUCCCGGGGGGAGCCACACAGUGAUCUCCUACCUCUAUGAGACCAGUGACCUGUGCUCCCCAAUGCCAUGCUGGAGCCUCUACAUUUAUUUGACAAAUGAAUUUUGCAGAUUUUUAAAAUAUCGUGUACAGAAUUUUUAUUCUUUUGGUGCAGAAUGUCCUCAGGAUUAACUUGUUCUAUACCUUUCAUUCUCCUUGUUUUGGAUACUAGCAUUCCAGGUACUGACCCCAGAAGGUACCUUUGUAAUUUGUACUGGGGCAAAAUAGAAAGGUCACUUGUCAAAAAUCCAAAUACAUAUCUGCUUUUGUCACAGGACGAGCGGUACUAUCGCAACAUGUGGAUUACCUCCUUUGCGUUGCCUGGGUGUUCAGUUCGGCCUGCCUUCCGAUUAUAACGUAGAGCAAUCCCAGGGCUGCUGCACUCCACCUCCUGGGACCAGGAGGUUACUUGUUUGAUGGGUUACCGAAGGCCUCAGUGGCUGGUCACAAAUCCCUGCGUUGACUCUCUGCCACCGGUCUGGUGUCUGUGACACAAGAAGAUGUUAAUGGCAACUGGCAAGGGGGGACAGAAACCUCCUGAGUUUGCGAUGAACAUUCUGGUUCUCCCAAAACAUCUGAGGUGAGGUCUCACCUGAAGGCCGGGGAAACACUAGUCAUUAAUAUUGUGGUCCAAUGUUGUACGGAUACUAUGUAAGGAGAUGUGUGUGUAUACUGGAAAAUGUGUUUAAACUCUGUAAGGCAUAUGUGUCUGGAUGUAAAUGUAGCAUUGUAAAAUAACAGAAUGCAUGCCUGAAGAGAUGUGAACUCUACAGAAAAAGAGCAGGCAGGCAAAAACAGGCCCUGGGGGAUUAUCCUGCCUCGGAGUAAAGACAAUGGAGGUCAGGGGUAUAUACAGAAGGCCCCCCUUCAUCCUGCACCUAGCAAGUGAAUGGAUGGCGUGGGUUGCAGGCUGACUCGGUCGAAAACCCUGCAGCAGACUUUGGGUGAGAGAAACAUCUUCAGCCAGGAGGUUAACCUGAUCACUUGUGUCUAGAAAGCGUGCUGUGAUUUUGGCUGUUUAGGUAAUGACUUGUUUCCGAUGGGCCUAUUAAACUCUGUUCUUCGUUUA